AAAAGAGUUGAGGUUUCCAUAGUAACCUUCAGUAGUUCAAAAUAAAAUUGCAUAAAAUGAAAUCAUUAUCACUCAGCAACUAAAGAAGACAGUUCAGCUGAUGAAGAUACCAAGUUGUAAAUGACUACCGCUGAAUAUUUCCCUACACAUAGAAGAGUCUCACAGGAACUGAUGCAACUGUUUUCAGCUAAGUAUAGCCUAUGUUAUGCCAUGAAAAACAAGGUCUACCACUCUGCUAUGAAGAGAACAUUGCAAUAGACCUUUAAAACACGUACUUGUGAGGUCUUGUCUUCGAGUAUCUUCUCAAAGUCUGUUGAAUUCCCGAGGGGCAUAUGGAAGAAAAAGCAAUGUGAAAAUCUGGGAGCUGCUGACUGACUGAGGUACUUCUGUUCUCUCUACAAGUCAUCAUGGAUCACUGUUACUUCCCUUGGAUGUUUGACAGAUACUCAUUGUUCCAGAAUCAUUGGCAUGAAGAGAUCCAGCCAGGACGAACUUGUCCGUCACACCUGACUACUGAGUUAUGUAUACAACAAACCCUAAAGGACAACUUCUGAAAGCUGGCAAGUUCUGCAUUAUAAGAGAGGCAGUGAGCAGCUAUUUUCUGCUCUGAUCCAGCCGGAAGUCUUGUAAACUCUUAAGCUGGUCUAAUGGUGUAAGAAGCUAAAUGAUAAAACUGAGUCACCAGAAUAAAAAGAGGGCUGGGAACUUGACUGUGUCAGGUUCAUGUGUAUGCUGAACUCCAGUUUAGAGCAAUGAAAGCAAUAUAAUUUUACUGCCACAGAAUUUCAGUAGCAUUUCUCAGAUUCAAAGCAUAUUAAUAGUGGUUCCCUGCUUAAUAUUAAUAGUGUUAACUGUUGCCAAAUUGAAAUACUCUUUGUGGGGUUGGUCUUGAUGAUAGAAAUGCAGAAUGUAGUACUUCGUAACCAUCUUAUGGCAUCUAUUUUGUUUAUUUAUCACACUCUCAUUUGAAAA